rnacentral:lncRNA from 1 species
GUUGGUUUGAAGCAAACCCUGGAGGUGCAGUCCAUGCUGCAAGAUGGUGUUUCUUUGUGUGCUCCUGCUCAUCAUCUGUCCAUCUGUGACUUCAGAGAGAUUCAUCUACAAAGAGUAUGGCAACAGUGUGACUUUUACAUGUUCCUCCAUGGGAUGUCCCAGCAGCACAGACGAGUAUGUUGCGAUGUAUGUCUACCAUGAAUUUAUCACACGGAAAGAAGUGCUUUUCUCAAGCAAAUAUAGUCCAGAUUACACUGUGGCUGAGCGACCACGAUACAAGGGAAGAAUUCAAACCAGCAGUUCCUUCAGAAACCGAUCCAUCACCAUCAGUAAUCUGACUGUGGAUGACUCUGGAGUCUACACAUGUGUCUACAAGGACGAUGCUCACAGACUGAGCCAGUGUGAUCUCUACUUUGUUGUGAUAAAAGGAAACGCAUCGUGUCCAUUGACUACAGGCAAAGAGAAGACUACACUUCUGAUGUUGGUAGUUUUAGCAUGUCUCGUCGGCAUCAUGAUAACCACAAUGAUUCUCCUGUUUGUCUUUCUGAAGGUGAAGCAAUGGAGAAAAAGCAGGAAAUUAAGAAGAGGUGCAUCUCAGCUUUCCAAUGUGUACGAGGUGAUGACCAAAAAUGGUUUCCAACAUGUGGAAGUUCCAGAGCAGUUCUCAGAAAGCCCAAUUGAUGUAGAGUAAGAUAGACAUUGUUUUUAACCUUUUAUGUUAAGCUCUUUUCUAAAAGAACGUAACAAGAAAAGGCAAAAAGGCUGAAACGAGUAACUAACUAUUAUUUAGAUACUGAUGUAGUCAACAAUCUGUGUUUUUCGCUUUUGAGGGGCUACGUGGGUGGAAAUGAAACUACUCUGAAAUAAAAAUGUGCAUUGAUGUUUAACA